AGGCUGUCCGGGACCCACCCGGACCCACCCGGGCCGGCAGAGACCGGGGACGGGGCGGAGAAAGACAGAGAUGGGGAGAGAUGGGAGGCAGGGAGAGACAAGAGGUGGGGAGACGCACAGAGCUGCAGGUGGGAGAGAGGAGGCUUCGAAGACAAGGGGGAGAGACAGCUCUGGAGACGGAGAUGGCAGAGACCUGCGAGAUGGAGAGAAAUGCACAAGCGAGGAAAGACGGACAGAGGAGGAGGCCCAAGGAGAGGCAGAGCCGGGGGUCGAGAUGGAAGACGGAGGCUGGGAACAGAGCCCCGCGGUGCCCGGCCCGCGCCUGGCAACGGGAGGAGGCAGAGGAGCAGGACCCCAGACAAAGUUGGAGACGCUGAGAGAAUACAAGCUACUUGGAGACGGGGACUCUCUCUGCCUUGUUUAUGGCCAUAACCUCUGAGGCACAUCAGAACAAAAGCCAACACUUGCUGAGCUCUAACACCAUGCUGGGCCCGUGCUGCUCACCUUAGAUGAACUCACUCCUCCCACAAUGCUACAAGCUGAAACAUUAUGAUCCUUAUUUACAGAUGAGGAAACGGAGGCUCAGAGCCACCCCUCACCUAAAGCCACACAGCUGCUGAAGGGGCUGCUAACCCUUAGAAUGUCUUUCUGUCACCCCAGGGCAUACAGCUGGACCCCAGGCCAGGGUUUCCCUCUGCUGUGUGCAGUGUGCAUGGCUGUACAGGCCAAUGGGGGCAGGAUUCAGGGCCAGGGAACUGGUCCAAGGCCAUGCAAUCACCACCGCAUCACCUGGACUCAGCAAAAAUUUGCUGAAUGAAUAAUAAGCCAGGAGGCCUGGGGAGCUGACGCCUUGAAGGGCAUGGUUCCAAACACUGUGCAUGAAAUCACAUCUAUCGUUAAGUCUGUUUUUCAAAGAUAGGAAGUGAGGCUCAGAGAAGGGAAUCCAUUUCCCCUGGAUCACACAGAAAUCAUCAGGUCCAGCGGCAGAGACACGGUGGGUGCCACCUCCUGCCCUCGGUGCAGGCGACCUCUCCCCAGCCACCUGGUUUUCUGCAGUCCCAAGAAGGCCUUCCAGCUGCUGAGGGCAGAGGAUUGUACCUGGGAGCCUGGGAGCCCUCGACCCAGAGCCUGGGUCUGAUUGGUGGCAGCCCAGAGCUGAGAUGGGGGACCCAGGAGUCCCAGUGUCCCAGAGCCUGCGUGCAGCUGGGCCCCACAGAGCAGGCUCAGGAGAGCGGUCAGCUGGCCGAGGAACAUCCGUCCGCCUGUCAUUCAGUCCGGGGCUGGGCUCAGGGUCCUGGGCAGUCAACCCUGCUGUCUGCUGUUUUUUCCUUUAGUGCAUAUUAGAGGCCGGGCAUUCUGAUCCCUGGAGACACGGGAGAGGGGGGCGGCAAGACAGACACGGGCCUCGCCGGAUUUGACAUCGUGGUGCCGAAAGCAGGCAAGAUGAUUUCAGAGCCUUCAGUGUUAAGAAGUUAUUUAAGUAGUUUGUGCCCUACAGGUGUCAGGGCGGGGGCUUCUGCCCCCGGGGUGGUCAGAGAAGGCCUCCCUGAGGAGGUGACAUUUUUGCAGACCCCUGAGGGUGGUGGUGGAGGUGGUGGGAACAGCCUAGUGGGGGGUGGAGGCUGGAGUGCCAGAAACACAUAAAGCAGGUGGGAGCCGCAUCCCAGGCUUUGGAGCCCCAGGACGCAUGGGGGGGUCCGGGCCGGGCCCUGGCACCUCCGUGGGCCCCAUUUCGCACCCAGGCGAGGAGCUGCAGGCCGCGGGGCCGUGAGAAGGGGCAGGCCGGGUCCUUCCCGCGCCCCGCGGAGCUGGGACGGCGACGGGACGCCCUCGCCCUCUGGCGGCGGCUCUCGGGACUGCGCGGCGGCGGCGCCCAGAACACCCGACUUCUGGACGCCCCACCUGGAGACACAGCCAUUAUGUCCCACUUGAACCAACACGGUCCCUCCACCCUGGUGUUCCAGUUCCUGCUGCCUCCUCCCAAGUCUGUUCCCUGUUCUACAGCAGCCAGAAGGCGCCCAUGGACACUGGUGUCCAGGCACUUCUUUCCUCUGCUCAGAACCUUCCAGGGCUCCCACCUCAUUCGCGGUAACAGCCAAGGUCCUCACUGCAGCCCACAGGACUCUCUCCUUUGCUUGUGGAAGACCAUCUUCUCCCUGUAUCUUCACAUGAUCCUCCUCCCAUGUGAGUCUGUAUCCGAAUUUCUUCCUUUUAUAAGGACACCGGCAUACUAGAUUAGGGCCCACCCUACUGACCUCAUUUUAAUUACUUUUUUAGAGACCUUAUUUCUAAAUAUGGCCCCAUUCUGAGAUACUGGGAGUUUGCACUCUAACGUAUGAAUUUUGAGGAGCCACAACUCAGUCCAACAAGGACUGAGAUAUCUUACAAUAUGGAUGAACCUCGAAAAUAUGCUAAGUAAAAGAAUUCAAACACAAAUGGUCACAAAUGACUCCAUUUAUAUGAAAUGUCCAUAUUUAGGCAAAUCCAUAUAGAGACAGAAAGUAGAUUACUGGUUGCCAGGAACUGAUGGGAGGGGGAGAAAGAGGGUGACUGUUCAUGGGUAUGGAAUUUCCUUUUAGGGUGAUGGAAAUGCUCUGAAGCUAGAUAGAGGUGCUGGUUACACAACACUGUAAAUGUUCUAAAUGCCACUGGAUUGUUCACUUUAUUUUUUAAAGAUUUAUUUAUUUGAGAGAGAGAGAGAGAGAGAGGAAG